GCCUACGGGGGGCAGCAGUGAGGAAUAUUGGUCAAUGGUCGGGAGACUGAACCAGCCAAGCCGCGUGAGGGAGGAAGGUACAGAGUAUCGUAAACCUCUUUUGUCAGGGAACAAAGGCGGGGACGUGUCCCCGGAUGAGUGUACCUGAAGAAAAAGCAUCGGCUAACUACGUGCCAGCAGCCGCGGUAAUACGUAUGGUGCAAGCGUUAUCCGGAUUUACUGGGUGUAAAGGGAGCGCAGGCGGUGCGGCAAGUCUGAUGUGAAAGCCCGGGGCUCAACCCCGGGACUGCAUUGGAAACUACCGA
rnacentral:rRNA from 1 species